UACGGGGGGAGCAAGCGUUGUUCGGAUUUACUGGGCGUAAAGGGCUCGUAGGUGGCCAACUAAGUCAGACGUGAAAUCCCUCGGCUUAACCGGGGAACUGCGUCUGAUACUGGAUGGCUUGAGUUUGGGAGAGGGACGCGGAAUUCCAGGUGUAGCGGUGAAAUGCGUAGAUAUCUGGAGGAACACCGGUGGCGAAGGCGGCGUCCUGGACCAACACUGACACUGAUGAGCGAAAGCCAGGGGAGCAAAACGGG
rnacentral:rRNA from 1 species